AUCCGGCUGAUGAGUCCCAAAUAAGACGAAACAUGCGUCUAAGAU
rnacentral:hammerhead_ribozyme from 1 species